rnacentral:rRNA from 1 species
GACGUAGGGGGCGAGCGUUGUCCGGAAUUACUGGGCGUAAAGCGCGUGCAGGCGGCCUGGUAAGUCCCGCGUGAAAGCCUACAGCUCAACUGUAGGAGGUCGUGGGAGACUGCUGGGCUCGAGGGCAGGAGAGGGAAGUGGAAUUCCCGGUGUAGCGGUGAAAUGCGUAGAUAUCGGGAGGAACGCCAGUGGCGAAGGCGGCUUCCUGGCCUGCCCCUGACGCUGAGACGCGAAAGCUGGGGGAG